rnacentral:rRNA from 1 species
UACGUAGGGAGCAAGCGUUGUCCGGAAUCAUUGGGCGUAAAGAGCGUGUAGGCGGCUCGGUAAGUCCGCUCUGAAAGCCCGGGGCUCAACCCCGGGAGGCGGGCGGAUACUGUCGGGCUAGAGUCCGGAAGAGGCGAGUGGAAUUCCUGGUGUAGCGGUGAAAUGCGCAGAUACUCAGGAGGAACACCAAUGGCGAAGGCAGCUCGCUGGGACGGUACUGACGCUGAGACGCGAAAGCGUGGGGAGCAAACAGG